GGCGGGGGGACGACUGCUGGUGGGCCUGAAACCAAAAACAAACACACUAGGACGAGUCCAGCUCAGUGACUCGCCAUCACAGGGGCCGACCUUCGUUAGAGAGCCGUAAUCAACCCGUGCUUUAGGAUCCUGAGCGCCUCCUCAGAGUCACAUCAGCCAUGAGAGGAACGACAGCGGGGUCUGUCUCCGCCGCCACCGCCGCCGCCGCUUCAUGCUCUGAAUAACAACACGUGCACACUGAUAAAAAGCAUGUAAUGAAAAAUCCAGCUGAGACCAGGACACGGCGGAGAGAAGCGGGACAGGCUCCGCUUCAGGACCUGGUUUGUAUUUCAGGUCAUUUCACACACCCUGAUGGAGGAGGAGGAGGAGUGCGAGCGCGGAUACAGGAGGUUCUGCUUCAAACUCUUAUCCACGGUCAGGUGUCUGAUUCCCAUUCAGAGCCACAAAGUCACCUUGUCACUGCUGGCUGUAAAACACGCUGAGCGCCGUCCAGGAAAAAUAUCUCUCCAGGAAAAAAUCAGCCAAGAACGCCGCUGUCCUCGUGGUUCGGUUCUGGAUCAAGCCUGAAAUUACACCUCAAUGAAUUUUCUCCAGCAGAGUGUGAAGACCUGCGACAGGGGAAACAGGUUUUUACAGUUUCUACAGAGAACUGCGGGUGUCGGGUCAGGUUACAGAAAAACAGCCCAGAGCAAAUCUGUGCAGCACCGAGUCCUGAAUACAGGUUUUUAAUCCGAGAGGAGGUCCACGAGCGCGGACUACAGAUCAGCUGCUGGGAGUCAUGCUAACGUCAGAGAGUCAGGGCCUUCAUACUCCUGCCGACCGCAGUAUACAGUAGAUACUUCAUACUGAGUACUGUGUUUGAUAGUAGUAUACAGUAUGACAGUAAGUCGGCUGUUAUCCUGUAGUUUGGUUGUCCUGGUUUAACUGGUUUCCAGUUUGACAAAGUCCAUCGUACUCUGGUAAAUUACGACACUACAGAGUUUUACGUUCAUUUACACUCUGAAAAAAAUCUUUUAUGUGUUUUAAUUUGAAUUUUUCUGGAUUUUUUAGUCCAAUACCAUCAAAACGUGUUCUGUCUCUCGACUCUGGCGUCGUUUGAUUCUCAUCACAGCGCUGUAAAUACAGCAAAGUUCUGUUGUCAGUUAUGUUAUCCUCGUUUCGCUGAAAUGAAAGAUCCUCACUAAACGUGUUAACUUAUGUCCCUUUGAUAGUUUGACAACUCCAGUAAAAACCCUCUGAUCCAAACUCCUGUCAGUUUAUUUUAAAUACCGUCUUGUCUGCUGACUGACUGGCGAUUUCCACCUUCAUCCUGAACGUCUUAAAGUCGGGACGAUUUUCCCCAAAAGAGAUUUGAAAAUCACAUAAGACUUAAAUCAGCUGAAAGGAAAAGCCUCUGAAUACUGACCUCAAACAAGCCAAGCGGACCCUCGACUCUUUAAAACUGAGGAUGCAGCAUCUAGGAUUUCUGAAUCUUCGUUGAAAGGACAACUUUACUUACUUGAGACGUUUUGCCUUAGGUGAAACAUCUCAAGUAAGUCCAGUUGUUCUUUCCAAAAGAGUGAUAGAUUUUGAUCCAUCAGACCUCAGGACAGUUCACGGACAAGUGAUAUCCCCCCCGAUAUCCACCUUCAUCCUGAUCGUCUCCUAAAAGGUCGUAUCCUCCGAUCGUAGCUGAUCGUAACCAUUCAAGUUAACGUGUCGAUUUACACCGACUUCUUUCCGUUCCUCUGCGGAUCGCCGGACUCCUCAGCUGAUCACAGAUCGGAGCUGUUCUGGAUGCGGUGGAAAUCCUGAGUAAGUUAGUGUACCUCAUGGUGUAUCACCAUGGAUGGGGAGAUGCUGAUUCUAGAAGAUGCUUGAGUCUAGAAGUAGAUUUCCUCCUCUUUACUUCUUCAAGUGUUUGUUUAUUUCUAAGUUCAGUUGAGCUGCCAUGACACGCAGCAUUGCUGGGCAAGCAGCCGGCGAGCGAGGGCCCGCACACGCCAAGGCCUGAAUCACUUGGUGAGCGAAUCACUGAGUGAACUUCACUUUCCAGGAUUAUUUUCAUCUGGGAUAGACUUUCAUGGCGGCCGUUGUUCCCUGAUGUUUUAACAGUUUUAGUUCCCAAUCAAACAAACUUCAACUGUUAGGCUGGCAGUCAUGUGAAGAGAGUGAGAGUCACCAGCUGUAGCGAUCUUGUCCGGCGCAACUUAGCGAGAUAGGGGUGUGCUGUGUUCAAGUGUACCUCAGAGAAAACUGAAUUGUCACAGGCUGAACGAAUCUUUUGAACGAAUCUUUUAAGUGAACUGAUUCUGGUGAUUCAGUACAUUUAAAAGAACUGCCUUGACCAUCACUAAAGCAGACUGGUUUGAUGGAUACUGUGACAUUUUCCUGAAUCAGUACAUCAUCCUGAUAUUAUUGACAUACUGCAAAUUUUGCAUUUGUUCACCUACUGCAGACUGGAUACUACAUUUUGGGUAAAUCAGUACGAACUGCUAGGAUAGGAGGAGAAUUCAUAAACGGCCUCGACUCUCUUCUUUCCUCUCUAAAUCUGAAUGAUCCGUUAAAAACCGUAAAACCAGACCCUCUUUUUAGACUCUAAGUUUCUUUAUCCGUUAAUUUCUCUUUAUUUAUUUAUGCUGUAAUUUAGGAGUUUCCCUCUGUGGGACUAUUAAAGGAAUAUCUCAUCUCUCUCUGGUUGUGAUGGAUCGGUCUGGUCCUCCUGACAGUCUGCGCUCUGUCUGACUCUCAAAUCCCCGUUUACUCAAGCGUGUCAAAAACGCCGUUUUCCCUCCGUCUGUUUUCGCUCCUCUGUCAUUUUGUCACUCCUCUGCAGCCAAUUUAAAACAUGUCACUCCUCUGCCCAGCUUAGGACUCCAAAUAUCAAUACAUUGUCUGGUUUGGCCGUCUAAAAAUAAACGAGCGGUGAGGAGGGGGAACACGCCGUCCACAUCGUUUAGGCAGACGAGUGUGUACGCAGCGGAGAGGCGUCCACGCAGGAUCUUGAUGGGAUUGGAUCUGGUUGUUUAUCUGGAUGCAAAUGCAGGUCAGGAGACUCUGAAGAUGACAGCUUUUCAAAAAUGGAUGUCAAAGAGCAAACAAGGCUGAAAUCUGAAGGAGACGGAUUAUUUCACCGUUCGAUCUGACAAGGACCUCGGUGAGAAGAGGAGCUGAAGACGUUUAGAGCGAGACGGAGCUUCAGAUGGAGACACUGACACGAGGGUUUGUGGGAAAAAAGAAAGGUCAGAGAGAGAGAAAAGCUGUAACUUUAAUGAAGAUCAACUCAAAGUGAACUUUAAAGCGAUAAUGUCCCGACGGUGAAGGACAAUGGACCAUCAGCUGACUGUGACCCACUCUGGAGUUUCUGCUGACUGAUUUCCACAGUAAAUCUAUAAACUCACACAGAGAGGAUCCUGCUCACAGCGACAUCUUAAAAAUCUGUCUAUAACCGUCUAAACUCAGUCCAGAUCAGAGCCGGACCAAGGCAGGAGCCAACUAAGCACCUGCUGAGGGCCCCGUGGACAGUAGGGGGCCCCCAAGAGCAAUCAGAAAAAAAUAUAUAUUAAAUAUUUUUGAUUUUUUUCCAUGUAUGAGUGAUGCUUUGGGCGGCACAGUGGUGUAGUGGUUAGCAUUGUCGCCUCACAGCAAGAAGGUCCUGGGUUCGAAUCCGGAUCAGGGCGUUUGUAUGUUCUCCCCGUGUCUGCGAGGGUUUACUCCGGUUUCCGCCCACAUCCUAAAAACAUACAGAAGUGGGGUUAGGUUAACUGGCCACUUUCAAAUUGCCCGUAGGUGUGAAUGUGAGCGUGGAUGAUUGUUUGUCUUUGUAUGUCGGCCCUGCGAAGAACUGGCGACUUGUCCAGGGUGUCCCCUGCCUUCGCCCGGAGAUGCUGGGAUAGGCUCCGCCCCCCCUGCGACCUCCAACGGGAAUAAGCGGUAGAAAAUGGACGGAUGGAUGGCUUAUACCGAUUAAGACCAGACAACUGAAGCGCAUUAGUCCGACGAUAACCUGAGUCGGAGAACUGCGAUUAAGACACCCGGAUAAUGUGAUUGGAAUUUGAUUUUCUCUACCAUGUAACCAGCGUAGUCGGAGUAUGAUCGGACAAUGCAUGUGCGCCACGCCCUCGUAACCCCGUAACAAAACCACCAGAGUAGAGGAGUAGCGUUGGUCUCCUCUUUAGAAAAAGUAGCGCGUCCAUCAUGUCGGACAAAAACAACGCUGUACGAUGCUCCAUCUUCUUGUUUCUCCAAAAUGCCCAGCAGCAGUUGUAGACACUUCUGACGUCUGACACCGACCUGCUGUUGUUGUUGACGGUUGGAUGGGGUCAGAAACAGCGCAGCUGAAAAGACACAUAUCGCCCCCUAGUGUUGGGGAGGAGGACACGUUCACGUCAAUAAUUCAGUUUUCUCAGCUGCAUGGAAACGAGGACGAGGAGAGAAGUCGGAUUCAGAGAAAUAGACGAAUUCUGAGUUUAGUCCAAUUAAACUGUGACUGUAAACGAACUGAGUGAUGAAGGAGUUCGAUGGACGAGAUGAACGCUCGGAUCAGACCCCCAAUCAUUAGAGGCGUGUGGAUCCUGAGUGACGGUUUCAUGAUGACGCUCUUUAAGAAGGCGAAGCGGCCGCGGAGAAGAAGGAGUGAACGUCAUUAUCAGUUCAUUCGUCUUUGUGGAAAGUCAUGGAGCUCCACUGCAGCCCUUUACGACGAGUCAUUUAUCACUCAGGUGUGUGUGUGUGUGUGUGUGUGUGUGUGUGUGUCCUUUUCUAACAUCCGUUCACGUUGGAGAAAAAUCAAAUCACUGUUUCUUCAUUGAUUGUUUUGAUCGUUUCACGCUGAGAGGAGGGAAAUGAAAUAAUCGGUGUGUCUGAUAAGCUGAGAAAGUAAUCGAGGUGAACAUUAGCGAGACGACAGAAUCAUCCCUCCAUCUCUGCGUCUGUUAAUGAAGUUAUAAACGUUUCUCUCCUCUUUUAUCAGAAAACUGAAAACUCUGAAUGUUUGAUGAAGGAGAAGCUGAAAACUGACCGUACGUCUGUUUCAUCAGCCACCGUCACAGAGCAUGCUCAGUGCUGCGUUCACACCUCCACCUGCUCCCUCUCCUCCGACUCUGCUCUUGUUCUCCAUUCAGCUCCAGGUCUGUGAUUAAUGUCCCGUGUCUCCUGUAUGUUGUGUUUGUGUUUUUGUCCUGGGCUGUAAAUCAGAUCGAGCCUCCAGGGACGAUAAAGAUCUGAUGGUUUGAUUAAAGCCGUACAGAAGGAGCUACAUGAUUAUUUAUAGCGCUCCUCAGAGGUGGUCCUGUUCUCAGACAUGUCCUGACUUUCAGAUCAAUUAUGCAGUGACUGUAGAUCACCUGCCCCCCCUCGGGGAAAUAUAGAGGCCAUGUUUGGAGGUACCUGGCUAAUAAAAGCUCCGCAGAGUGGAGGAGCCGCUGCUGGAAGAACUUAAAUCAGAGAAGUUUUAGACCUGUCUGUGGGAGACCCUGAAGGACCAAAACAAACCCAAACUUCACUGAUCUACCUCCACACACUGUUUCACAGCUCCCCUCCUCACGAUCUUUCUUUUCCUCCAUAUUUUCAUCAUCUAAAAGGUUUUUAGUCCGUUUAGAUUUCAUUUUAGAUAAUAUUGACUUUUAUUCAUAAAUCUGCAGAGUUACAGCGGUUAAGGAUCGGCACGGCAAACAGAGAAGAAGAAGAAGUCCACUCAUUGUGCACACAAAGUCAACUUACCCCCAAUUUCCACUGCUGCGCAUCGGCUGCGAUUUUCACCGUCCGCCAAAUCCCAUUAGCUGUGUUUUUGAGGCGAAUUUUGUGGCGAAUUUCGGACAGUGAGGAUUACCAGGACUCAAACCUGCAAAUUCACAUGCAAUCGCACGAUAACAAGUUGUCUCUAAAAACCUUUCACUUGUUCGUCUCCACCCGUUUGCAUGGUGUGAAAUACGAUCCUCCUGAAACACAGAGAGUUUUAUUUUGAAAAGAAGCAGGAUGUUUUAUUUUGAGUCUGUGCCUGACUUCCUGUCCAACCCUGACGAGCGGCUACGAAGCCCGCUGAACCGCAGGGGGCCGGAAAGAAGCCGGAGGAAUUUGACACAUUUAAUGUUGUAGUCAGGAUCUGAGUUAAUCUUGAAUGUAAACUCUACCCCUCCAACCUGUUUUCCCCUCAGCUCCUCCCCUCCCCUCAAGCCCCGCCCACAAACAGACGCUCCUGCUCGCUCGUAUCGUUCCAGUUAAAUUCAGAUAUAAUGCAGAUAAAUACUUCAGAUCAUUACAAAUGGGGCCCAGUCAAGGUGAAAGUCAAAAGCAUUGGUGCUACUGUAGAUGCCAACAGACUACCAGCAAACACAAUGUUUGCAGGACUUCUACAACGAGGAUAAAGUGACAUAGUCCAGGACCCGAGGGAGGACAGUUUAGCGAUGGCGCUACAACACGCUACAGCAGGUCCGUUUGACAAGAAACACUUCUGUUACAGACACUUGUCUUACUUUGUUAAAGCGGUUUACCUGUCCAGCAGAAAGGUUACAGGGUCACCAAGAUCCCCAAGCGUCCCCCAUGGUUUAUGUUGACCCGGCUUUUUAGCUCUUGUCCGGUCUACCUCCGUUUUAAGCGCCCGUUAUUCCUCCAGAGUCUCCGGUAUUUACUUUGUUUUCUUGCUUGUGUCGGCAGUCGUGGCCAAAGGAGGAUUCAGACAAUUUUCCGAACUUUCUGGUUGGUUUCUACUGUCCGAUAUUGUAGCACGCUAACUUUGUUUGGGCUCCUGAACGACACGGGGGAGCAGCGUCUGCCUCACAACCAAUCAGGUUAGAGGAGGUGGAGAACGGCUUUGUUUACAGUCAGAAAGAGCGGACCGCUCAAAAAUGUUCAAAUGUUGACGACACAGACAUAAGAGAACACAGAGAUAUCGAUAUAUUACCAAAUGUCAUCAAUAACUAAUAACUAUUGACUGAUAUUAGAAGAUUUUUUGUAUAAAAACCACAAUUAAGAUGCUUCUGUAACAGAUUCCUGCCUACCUUAUCUUUAAGUCUCUAACCCUUUUAAGUCUGUUUUCUUCAGGUAAGUAAAAGAUGAGUGUCACGCACAAUAAAAGAUGUAUUUAUUUUCAUUUCUCUGCUUUUAUAAAGAGUAAAACCAGAAUCCUUAUAAGAGACAGAAAAAUCACAGAUGUUAAAAACCGCUCUACAUGUUUUUUUUUAUAGUGUAUUCAAACAUCUGUUACGCCUGUCAGAGCUCCAACAUCAGCUGUGUGGAUCCUGUAGAGUCCACUCUUACCUGGCUCUGAUCCAGCGCUCACACCUGCUCCUGAGAGAUCCAGGUUUAGGUUUUAAACGUGAUCCAGGUCCGGGUGUCAAAGGAGGGAAGCUGCUUAGCAGGAAGCCGAUCCAGGGUCGGAGCCGAGCCCAGCAGAUGUGAGGAGGAGGAGGAGGAUUAUCCUC
rnacentral:lncRNA from 1 species